rnacentral:rRNA from 1 species
CAGUAGCCGCGGUAAUACGUAGGGUGCAAGCGUUAAUCGGAAUUACUGGGCGUAAAGCGUGCGCAGGCGGUUAUAUAAGACAGAUGUGAAAUCCCCGGGCUCAACCUGGGAACUGCAUUUGUGACUGUAUAGCUAGAGUACGGCAGAGGGGGAUGGAAUUCCGCGUGUAGCAGUGAAAUGCGUAGAUAUGCGGAGGAACUCCGAUGGCGAAGGCAAUCCCCUGGGCCUGUACUGACGCUCAUGCACGAAAGCGUGGGGAGCAAACAGGAUUAGAUACCCCAGUAGUCCCUGUCUCUUAUAC